rnacentral:lncRNA from 1 species
AGCCAAAAUCCUUGCUUGCUUGAGCUUGCUCCUUUGCCUAACUAAGAUGAGCAACACCGACAGUUGCUCAACCUUCACUAUUAUGCAACCGUAGUUAUUAUUAUGAAACAUAUUAACCAUAAGGAAUCACCAAAUUACACAUUAGACAAUGUUUUCUCUAGAAAACUAUGAAUUUAGUUGUCUAUUCGGAUGUAAAAGAUUCACAUUGCUGUGUAUUGGCAGGUACUAAAAAUGGAGGGCCGACUAUUGAAUUAUUUUGGCUUCCGGAUAUCAUGGGAUUCUUGUGGUUCCGGAGGAUCCAGCUACAGGAGAACUAGGAACGGAGAGCUUUCCCCCGUUUUCCGCCCGACUCUUUGGUCUUAAGAAUGCUGGUUUUAAGAAUGAGUGAUUGCCCUUCUCCGACCCUUACUGCUCAACCUAAACCUAUAGUGAGUUACAGACAGAGUUCGAAAAGGUCAAAUCUUGGAUGAUUCCAUCAUACAUGAUGGAGUUGCGAAAACUUCUGGAUAGGUACCCUACAUCUAAACUGAAUUCUUUCUGGUUAAAGAAUCUCUUUUUAGUUGCUCUGGAAAAAUUAGGAAAUGGAUCCCACUAGAGCGCCUUCUACUUCUAAUAGGCCAUGAACUAGAUCAGAAUCAUUCUCAACGAGUUCAUAAGAAGUGAUCUCAUUUUUUUCAUCGGGUCCAGGUAGAGACCAAAGAUCUUGAGCGAUCGAUCCGGUAGAACAACUCAAAAGAUAAAAUUUUUGAAUUAUAUCGUGCUACUUUGAAAUCCGAUGGUGUUUUUCGUAGCUGUCCAAGGGGUUGGUUUACUUUUGGACAUGCUUCGUUUUCUCUGCUCUUCUUCUUCAGACACAUUUGGCAUGGUGCUAGAACCUUGUUUAGAGAUGUUUUUGCUGGUAUUCUCAAAAUGGAACUAAAGAAAACAAAAAAAAAAAUUGGGGGGGGGGGGGGGUCAAACUAACUUUCUUGAAUAACAAACUUCUUUAAAUUUAAAUUAAGAAAGUUAAAAUAAUAAUUAAAUAAAUUAAAUAUAAAUAAUAUUGAAAUUGCAAGUAUUCUCUUGACUUUUUGGGCUAUCGUUCAAGCGUGCGACUAAAUUCUUCAUUGGUAUGAAGUCAAAUGCAUUCUUUCUUUUUGAUAGUUGGUUGGCAGGGUCAGGACCUUUCUCACUGGGUGAGCACAUCCAAUUCGAAAGUCCUUUCCUAAACCACUUCCCAUUCAGUUUCUGAAAGAUAUAGAUAAGCUUUCUAAAUGAGAUGGAGUUCCACGAAUAUGCAGGCUAGAGCUUGACUGCAAGACCCAACCGUUGAG